rnacentral:rRNA from 1 species
UACGUAGGGGGCAAGCGUUGUCCGGAUUUACUGGGCGUAAAGAGCGCGCAGGCGGUCGUUCAAGUCGCGUGUGAAAGCCCCCGGCUCAACUGGGGAGGGUCACGCGAUACUGAUCGACUCGAAGGCAGGAGAGGGAAGUGGAAUUCCCGGUGUAGUGGUGAAAUGCGUAGAUAUCGGGAGGAACACCAGUGUCGAAGGCGACUUCCUGGCCUGUUCUUGACGCUGAGGCGCGAAAGCUAGGGGAGCAAACGGG